rnacentral:rRNA from 1 species
AGAGUUUGAUUCUGGCUCAGAACGAACGCUGGCAGCGUGGAUUAGGCAUGCAAGUCGAACGUGAAGCCGAUGAUCAAUCUUUCGGGAAAGUGAUUCGGUGGAGAGUGGCGGAAGGGUGAGUAACGCGUGGGUAAGCUACCUCGAAGUUGGGGACAACCAGAUGAAAAUCUAGCUAAUACCGAAUGUGGUCCUCUGGCACAUGCCGGGGUGACUAAAGGUGGGGAUCCUUUAUUGGACCUGCCGCUUUGAGAUGCGCCCGCGUGCCAUCAGCUUGUUGGUAGGGUAACGGCCUACCAAGGCUUACGGCUAGCCGGCCUGAGAGGGUGACCGGCCACACUGGGACUGAGACACUGCCCAGACUCCUACGGGAGGCUGCAGUCGAGGAUCAUUCGCAAUGCGCGAAAGCGUGACGAUGCGACGCUGCGUGGGGGAUGAAGGCCUUCGGGUCGUAAACUCCUGUCAUGAGGGAAAAGUAUCCCUGCAAUGAAUAGUUGCGGGGCUCGAUGGUACCUCAAGAGGAAGCCACGGCUAACUCUGUGCCAGCAGCCGCGGUAAUACAGAGGUGGCGAGCGUUGUUCGGAUUUACUGGGCGUAAAGGGUGCGUAGGUGGUUUUGUGUGUCGGAUGUGAAAGCCCAUGGCUCAACCGUGGAAUUGCAUUCGAAACUGCAGAACUAGAGUGCAGGAUGGGAGAGCGGAAUUCUUGGUGUAGCGGUGAAAUGCGUUGAUAUCAAGAAGAACACCGGUGGCGAAGGCGGCUCUCUGGAAUGCUACUGACACUGAGGCACGAAAGCUGGGGGAGCAAACAGGAUUAGAUACCCUGUAGUCCCAGCCGUAAACGGUGCACACUUGGUGUGGGGAGAUUUAACCCUCUCCGUGCCGGAGCUAACGCGUUAAGUGUGCCGCCUGGGGAGUACGGCCGCAAGGCUAAAACUCAAAGAAAUUGACGGGGGCCCGCACAAGCGGAGGAGCAUGUGGCUUAAUUCGAUGCAACGCGAAGAACUUUACCAGGGCUUGACAUAUACCUGCAAACCCCGUGAAAGCGGGGAAUCCUUCGAGGGUGGUAUACAGGUGCUGCAUGGCUGUCGUCAGUUCGUGCCGUGAGGUGUUGGGUUAAGUCCCGUAACGAACGCAACCCUUGUGACUAGUUGCCACCGGCGGUGAUGAGCCGCCGAGCACUCUAGUCAGACUGCCCGUACAAGCGGGAGGAAGGUGGGGAUGACGUCAAGUCAGUAUGGCCCUUACGCCCUGGGCUGCACACGUGCUACAAUGGUCGGUACAAUGGGAUGCAAUAUCGUGAGGUGGAGCAAAUCCUGAAAGCCGGCCUCAGUUCGGAUUGAAGUCUGCAACUCGACUUCAUGAAG